AACGAACGCUGGCGGCAUGCCUAACACAUGCAAGUCGAACGAGACCUCCCGGUUUAGUGGCGCACGGCUGCGUAAGGCGGGGUAACCUGCCCUUAGGUUCGGAAUAACUCCCCUAAAGGGAUGCUAAUACCGGAGAAUGUCUUCGGACCAAAGAUUUAUUGCUGUUGGAUGGGCGCUCGUUGGAUUAGCUGGUUGGUAGGGUAAAAGCAUACCAAGGCGACGAUCCAGAGCUGGUCUGAGAGGAUGCUCAUUCACACUGGGACUGAGACACGGCCCAGACUCCUACGCGACGGAGCAGUGGAGAAUACUGGACGAUGGGGGCAGGUCUGAUCCCGCCAUGCCGGGUGAGUGAUGCAGGGCUUUGUGUUCUAAUUCUCUUUUACACGGGAUGAUAGUGACGGUACCGGGUAAAUAAGCACCGGCUAACUACGUG
rnacentral:rRNA from 1 species